rnacentral:rRNA from 1 species
AUGUAGCAAUACAUUCAGUGGCGAACGGGUGAGUAACGCGUGGAUAAUCUACCUACGAGAUGGGGAUAACUAUUAGAAAUAGUAGCUAAUACCGAAUAAGGUCAAUUGAGGUGUUAAUUGAUGAAAGGAAGCCUUUAAAGCUUCGCUUGUAGAUGAGUCUGCGUCUUAUUAGCUAGUUGGUGGGAUAAGAGCCUACCAAGGCUAUGAUAAGUAACCGGCCUGAGAGGGUGAUCGGUCACACUGGAACUGAGAUACGGUCCAGACUCCUACGGGAGGCAGCAGCUAAGAAUCUUCCGCAAUGGGCGAAAGCCUGACGGAGCGACACUGCGUGAACGAAGAAGGUCGAAAGAUUGUAAAGUUCUUUUAUAAGUGAGGAAUAAGCUUUGUAGGAAAUGACAAAGUGAUGACGUUAAUUUAUGAAUAAGCCCCGGCUAAUUACGUGCCAGCAGCCGCGGUAAUACGUAAGGGGCGAGCGUUGUUCGGGAUCAUUGGGCGUAAAGGGUGAGUAGGCGGAUAUGCAAGUCUAUGUGUAAAAUACCACAGCUCAACUGUGGAACUAUGCUGGAAACUGCAUGACUAGAGUCUGAUAGGGGAAGUUAGAAUUCCUGGUGUAAGGGUGGAAUCUGUUGAUAUCAGGAAGAAUACCAGAGGCGAAGGCGAACUUCUAGGUCAAGACUGACGCUGAGUCACGAAAGCGUAGGGAGCAAACAGGAUUAGAUACCCUGGUAGUCUACGCUGUAAACGAUGCACACUUGGUGUUAAUCGAAAGGUUAGUACC